rnacentral:lncRNA from 1 species
UUGUAAGGUAAAUUGGGAUUAAAAAAAAUUAGGUAAAGUAGAAGCUUAGCUUUCGUGGAAGGAAAAAGGGACACAACGAUGAGUUUGCUACGGCAAAGAAGAAAGUGGCAGUUUACAGCUUCCUUUCUCACACUCUUGGCCUCUCUUUCUCUCUCUAGCAUGAAGUUCUCUCUUCUUUUUGAAAUGCAGAAGGGAAAAUGAAGAAAUGGAGAAGGAAAGAGGUUUAAAUAUGAAAGGGCAGUUUAUCAUUAUCUAUCAUAUCA